CAGUCGCCGCGGUAAUACGUAGGUGGCAAGCGUUGUCCGGAAUUAUUGGGCGUAAAGCGCGCGCAGGCGGAUCAGUCAGUCUGUCUUAGAAGUUCGGGGCUUAACCCCGUGAGGGGAUGGAAACCGCUGAUCUAGAGUAUCGGAGAGGAAAGUGGAAUUCCUAGUGUAGCGGUGAAAUGCGUAGAUAUUAGGAAGAACACCAGUGGCGAAGGCGACUUUCUGGACGAAAACUGACGCUGAGGCGCGAAAGCCAGGGGAGCGAACGAGAUUAGAUACCCGUGUAGUCCCUGUCUCUUAUACA
rnacentral:rRNA from 1 species